rnacentral:rRNA from 1 species
GCGGAAGUUUUCGGAUGGAAGCAAUAAACCUUAUCGGCGGACGGGUGAGUAACGCGUGGGUAACCUGCCUCAUACAGGGGGAUAACAGUUAGAAAUGACUGCUAAAACCGCAUAAGCGCACAUUGUCGAGUGGCAGAGUGUGAAAAACUCCGGUGGUAUGAGAUGGACCCGCGUCUGAUUAGCUAGUUGGUGAGGUAACGGCCCACCAAGGCGACGAUCAGUAGCCGGCCUGAGAGGGCGACCGGCCACAUUGGGACUGAGACACGGCCCAAACUCCUACGGGAGGCAGCAGUGGGGAAUAUUGCACAAUGGGGGAAACCCUGAUGCAGCGACGCCGCGUGAGUGAAGAAGUAUUUCGGUAUGUAAAGCUCUAUCAGCAGGGAAGAAGAAAGACGGUACCUGACUAAGAAGCCCCGGCUAACUACGUGCCAGCAGCCGCGGUAAUACGUAGGGGGCAAGCGUUAUCCGGAUUUACUGGGUGUAAAGGGAGCGUAGACGGCUGUGCAAGUCUGAAGUGAAAGCCCAGGGCUCAACCCUGGGACUGCUUUGGAAACUGUGGAGCUAGAGUGCUGGAGAGGUAAGUGGAAUUCCUAGUGUAGCGGUGAAAUGCGUAGAUAUUAGGAGGAACACCAGUGGCGAAGGCGGCUUACUGGACAGUAACUGACGUUGAGGCUCGAAAGCGUGGGGAGCAAACAGGAUUAGAUACCCUGGUAGUCCACGCGGUAAACGAUGAAUACUAGGUGUUGGAGAGCAAAGCUUUUCGGUGCCGUCGCAAACGCAAUAAGUAUUCCACCUGGGGA